ensembl:lncRNA
AGCAGAGGAGAGAGAGAGAGAGAGAGGGGUGGAGGAGCCACACAGCAGAGGAGAGGAGAGAGAGAGAGGGGUGGAGGAGCCACACAGCAGAGGAGAGGAGGGAGAGAGAGAGGGGUGGAGGAGCCACACAGCAGAGGAGAGGGAGAGAGAGAGAGAGGGGUGGGAGGGGCCACACAGCAGAGGAGAGGAGAGAGAGAGGGGUGGAGGAGCCACACAGCAGAGGAGAGGAGAGAGAGAGAGAGGGGUGGAGGAGCCACACAGCAGAGGAGAGAGAGAGAGAGGGAGAGGGGUGGAGGAGCCACACAGCAGAGGAGAGGAGAUAGAGAGAGAGAGAGGGGUGGAGGAGCCACACAGCAGAGGAGAGGAGAGAGAGAGAGAGAGAGGGGUGGAGGAGCCACACAGCAGAGGAGGAGAUAGAGAGAGAGAGAGGGGUGGAGAGCCACACAGCAGAGGAGAGAGGAGAGAGAGAGAGGGGUGGAGGAGCCACACAGCAGAGGAGAGAGAGAGAGAGAGAGAGGGGUGGAGGAGCCACACAGCAGAGGAGAGAGAGAGAGAGAGAGGGGUGGAGGAGCCACACAGCAGAGGAGAGG